UCAGUUGUUCUCCUGACUGAAGUUUGGUCCGUUUACAGCAUCCUGCCAUGCGAUUGCAUUUGUCUCUAACUGUCACGGACCCGGCUCUGGAGGACUCGGGGGUCCGCGAGCAGGAUGGACCAUUAUUAUUAUUAUUAUUAUUAUGGUUAUUUGGGGAUGUGUGUUUGUCUGCACAAUGCUGUGUUAUUCUGUGGUCCACUCGUUAUAUGUAUAGGCAGGGUGUGGGUGUAUAGGUGUGGCUGUAGGAUGGAGGACAGCCACCUGCAGGCCUGAUGGGUGUGGCCCUGCUGGAGGACUGGCCACACCUGAAGUCCCUGCCACACACCUGCUGCUGAUCUGGGCUCGUCGGGGGAGCUAUUUAGGAGAGUGUUGGAGCUCCCACCGGCGCGGGAUCAUUAAGCUAGACUCCAAGUGGAACGAGGGACCAGAAGGGCAGCACACACAGGGUGUGCAGAAACACAACUGCCGGGAGCACGAGCACGGACGUCAGAGGGGAACACACACACGGGAGUCUAGGGAGCAAAGGGGGUUUAUUGUGCAUCUGUUACCUCACUGUAAAUAAACGCACUGUUCACA